rnacentral:rRNA from 1 species
AGAGUUUCAUCCUGGCUCAGGAUGAACGCUAGCUACAGGCUUAACACAUGCAAGUCGAGGGGCAGCAUGAAUCAAGCUUGCUUGAUUUGAUGGCGACCGGCGCACGGGUGCGUAACACGUAUCCAAUCUACCCAUGGCUCAGGGAUAGCCUUUCGAAAGAAAGAUUAAUACCUGAUGGUUUCAUGAGCCCGCAUGGACUUAUGAAUAAAGAUUUAUCGGCGAUGGAUGAGGAUGCGUCCGAUUAGAUAGUAGGCGGGGUAACGGCCCACCUAGUCGACGAUCGGUAGGGGCUCUGAGAGGAGGAUCCCCCACAUUGGAACUGAGCCAUGAUCAAACUCU